AAGCCCAAUACUCAUAAAACCCUUGCACUUUAAAAGAACUCUUCUUCUACAUCUUCACAACCUAGACCCGGCUAAGACAAAAAAUUCCUACAACUCCAACUUCAGCGGCAGACCUAAGAGCUCCUCACGACUGAAACCCUAUGUUGCUUACUUUCUGCUUUUUCUUUUUGAAUAUUGCGUUUGUCCCCUAUUAGACUAUCUAUAUUCUCUAAAUUUUAUGAAUUGUCCUCGCUCCCUAAAAUAUGAAAUCUCUGUGGAUCCUACAAUUCCACUCUAUUUGGACCUUGGCAGAUUCUUUUCUUUUUUUCUAGUGGAUAAUGAGUGCAUCUACUCUGCUCCACUUAAAUGCCAUGCUUUUGUCCGUGAUAGAGUUUGGACUCGUGACGCGUGCCUAAGCUGCACAUCACUCAUUUUGUUCUCACCACUAGACUAAAACUCCAAGGGCUCAAUUGCUAUUUGGCUUUCACUAAAAAUAUUUGUGGAUUUUGGUCACUGUCACGAGGAGCCAUCACAUAAACAAACUUAAGUCAAUCAUGUCGCUUGCAAAUGGCCUUAUGCUUAUUGACAAAGGGAGAGAAAGAUGCACUAUAUGAAGUACAUCUAAUUUCCAACACAACAUUAUAGAUUGUGAGAAAUUUUGCAACUAUCAGUAUAGUCUGUUGUUACAUAAUUCAUCCUGCCACAUCAAUAUUUGAUACUUCUUCAGUUUUGCAUUGUACAUUGUUAAAACCAUAGGAAUAUAUAGAAUGAUGGAAAUUAAAACCUCA